rnacentral:lncRNA from 1 species
ACUUGUGAGCAUCUGGUGUUGUCUGUGAAUACCUGACUUGACUGUAUUCUAUUUGUUGGUUGUUGUGUGUGAAUACCUGUUUUGGUUGUAUUCUGUUCGUUAAAAAGUUGUUCAUUUAAGCCGGUUCAUUGACUAUGGCUUCUAACACAAGUACAGGUGCCUCCCCUUCUGUAGACUCUUCCAGUCCCCUUUUUGUAUAUUCUUCUGAUGUCCCUGCGGUAUCUCUCGUUCCCAC